rnacentral:lncRNA from 1 species
UACAGUUUUGUACAAGAGUAAUGUUUGGGAUGCUUAAACCUUUGGCAUAUUUUGUAAGUUGAAAAAUGAAUAUACUAAAGACCUUUUUUGGGUGUUAACAUUUGCGGUUGACUGGCAUAUUUUAUGUAGAAUGUACAACCUGUUUUAUUUUAAAAAAAAAAAAUGAUUCUAAAAGAUAACGAAAAUUAAGCAUAUGCUCUUUUAACUGUUCUUGAACAGGGCUCCAAUUUAAAAAAAAAGAAAGAGUUCAGAUGAUCAAGUUCUUUGAAGAAGGAGAAAGGGGAAACC